UACGUAGGGUGCAAGCGUUAAUCGGAAUUACUGGGCGUAAAGCGUGCGCAGGCGGUUUUGUAAGUCUGACGUGAAAUCCCCGGGCUCAACCUGGGAAUUGCGUUGGAGACUGCAAGGCUAGAAUCUGGCAGAGGGGGGUAGAAUUCCACGUGCAGCAGUGAAAUGCGUAGAGAUGUGGAGGAACACCGAUGGCGAAGGCAGCCCCCUGGGUCAAGAUUGACGCUCAUGCACGAAAGCGUAGGUAGCGAACAGG
rnacentral:rRNA from 1 species